AGAGUUUGAUCCUGGCUCAGAUUGAACGCUGGCGGCAUGCCUAACACAUGCAAGUCGAACGGAAACGACAGGAGCUUGCUCCUGGGCGUCGAGUGGCGGACGGGUGAGUAAUGCAUAGGAAUCUGCCCAUGUAGUGGGGGACAACCUGGGGAAACUCAGGCUAAUACCGCAUGAGCCCUUCGGGGGAAAGCAGGGGAUCUUCGGACCUUGCGCUAUUGGAUGAGCCUAUGUCUGAUUAGCUUGUUGGUGGGGUAACGGCCUACCAAGGCGACGAUCAGUAGCUGGUCUGAGAGGACGAUCAGCCACACUGGGACUGAGACACGGCCCAGACUCCUACGGGAGGCAGCAGUGGGGAAUAUUGGACAAUGGGCGCAAGCCUGAUCCAGCAAUGCCGCGUGUGUGAAGAAGGCCUGCGGGUUGUAAAGCACUUUCAGUGGGGAGGAAAAGCUCAAGGUUAAUACCCUUGAGUCUUGACGUUAUCCACAGAAGAAGCACCGGCUAACUCUGUGUCAGCAGCCGCGGUAAUACAAAGGGUGCAAGCGUUAAUCGGAAUUACUGGGCGUAAAGCGCGCGUAGGCGGUUUGUUAAGUCGGAUGUGAAAGCCCCGGGCUCAACCUGGGAACUGCAUUCGAUACUGGCAGGCUAGAGUAUGGUAGAGGGAAGUGGAAUUCCGGGUGUAGCGGUGAAAUGCGUAGAUAUCCGGAGAACAUCAGUGGCGAAGGCGGCUUCCUGGACCAUACUGACGCUGAGUGCGAA
rnacentral:rRNA from 1 species